ensembl:miRNA
UGGUUUGCAACUCUGAAAACUAGAAGGUUUAUGACUGGGCAUUUCUCACCCAAUGCCCAGUAUUGAACUUUCUAGUUGUCAGAGUCAUUAACCC